UAGGGAAUCUUCGGCAAUGGACGAAAGUCUGACCGAGCAACGCCGCGUGAGUGAAGAAGGUUUUCGGAUCGUAAAACUCUGUUGUUAGAGAAGAACAAGGACGUUAGUAACUGAACGUCCCCUGACGGUAUCUAACCAGAAAGCCACGGCUAACUACGUGCCAGCAGCCGCGGUAAUACGUAGGUGGCAAGCGUUGUCCGGAUUUAUUGGGCGUAAAGCGAGCGCAGGCGGUUUCUUAAGUCUGAUGUGAAAGCCCCCGGCUCAACCGGGGAGGGUCAUUGGAAACUGGGGGACUUGAGUGCAGAAGAAGACAGUGGAAUUCCAUGUGUAGCGGUGAAAUGCGUAGAUAUAUGGAGGAACACCAGUGGCGAAGGCGGCUCUCUGGUCUGUAACUGACGCUGAGGCUCGAAAGCGUGGGGAGCAAACAGG
rnacentral:rRNA from 1 species